UAGAAUGUUUGGUUCACUAUAAUUCUUAGGUCUUUUUCACAUGAAUUGCUCCCUACUUAUGCCUUCCCUCUCUUGUACUUAGUAAAUUGAUUUUUUUUGAGCCAGAAGGAAGAGCUCUUCAUUUACUUCUUUUUUAGAUUGCUUUUAAAAACAAAUUUCAAGAACUUAUUUUUUCUUCCUCUCAUAUUCACCUAACUACUGAAAAGAAAGAAACAGAGAAAGGAAGAAUAAGAAGGGAAGAAAGGAAAAAGAAAAAAAGAAAGAGGGAAAGAAGGAAGAAAGGAAUAUUUCCUUUGGCCUCCAUAGAAGUACUUUCUUAUAAAAGAUAGAUAUGAAGAAACAAAACAAGCACAAAAUUGGCUAUAUGUGGAAAGGCAUGUUGUCUUCUGCACCUCUAGUCCAUCACCUAUCAUUCAAGACAUGGGAAGUUGCUUCAUUAUCAGUAGUCAGCAAAAUUGGGAUCAGCCCAGGAAGGACUCUUCCUUGAAGCAUUUAGGGUGUUUAUUGGACAAAGACAAAGACUCUUGAUUUUAUAUCCACCUUGACUGGAUUAGGGUAAUCAGCAGACUAAGAGAAGGAAGACAUCACUUCAAUUUCUUCAGGAAAUGGAGAUCUCUCUGGAAUUCAUCUUUGGUCACUUGAAAUGGAGAAUCCUUAAAAAGGAUGGUCAAAGAGAUCUUGAAUGAUUUUAGGAAAAUGAUUCUUCAAGGGUGUCCUAAAAGAUUGUCGGCUAUAAUUCUGUUUAAUGAAGCAAGUUGCUCUCUGACCUGUUUACCUUACCCUAAGACUUUUUUUUUUUUGGAUGGCACUGUGGAAGAAUUUCACACUGCGAUAUCAUACUUACAUAAUGGACCCACCCACACAUGUUCUCCUACAGAACUCGCUCUCUUGGAUUGUUUCUUUGCAAAGGGUACAUCAAGGACAAUCUGUCUUUCAAAUGAAAAGCAUGAAACUUCAAUUGUCCUCAGAUCCAGAAACCAUUUUUACAAUUGGAAUCUUUAA
rnacentral:lncRNA from 1 species